ACUGUAAUUUUUCGAUUUUGAUCGUAGAUUUACUUUUGUUGUCAAACAGAAAGUUAUUAUUUAAGUUAUGGCGUGUGACUUCAGUCUCUUGUGGAAAAUCAUCGUGAAAGGACGUGCGAUCGUAACCGGCUUCGAUUCAACGCAAUUGUCUGAUUAGUGGUCCAACUUCAAAGGCGGGAAAACUCUCAAUAUGGACGCCAUUAUACUUUUCCAAAGAGAACUUUGAUAUUUUACUUAUAUACUAUAUCUUGGAAGCAUGUUGGAAGAGCGCGUAUCAAUUUCCAUCAACGUUCGUUCCAUUUCGUUAUCUAAUCACCGAUCUCGAUAAUUAAUUGUGAAAUCGGCGCGCAAUUUCUUUCUCGACAACCGGAGAACGUCGACGAACGCGAGGACGAGCAUUCCUAGGAGCACGCAGCAUCGUAGAAUUGCCAAGAAGUUGGACCUCGUCCGUUGGGAUCAUCACGAGAUAAACUAAUAUGUGGCCCAGACCGUUAUGAGCGUCAUGCUUGAAAUUCCACGAUAUCUCUCCCUUUCCACACUUCCCCUUCCUUAUCCACCUUCUUUCUUCGCUGGAAGAAAGAUCGUCCCCUUUACGCCUCUUUGUCCCCGCCCUCUUCCCACGUCCAAUUAACACGCAAUUUCACGCUAUAGCGAUUCUCGUUCAUUUUUUAAUUCUCCUUCUUGUCCCUAUCCUGAUUCCAUUCGUCGAAAAUUGCAGCAACUCGCUUUAACAAUACGAAAUAACGACUAACCAGUUAAAAAUUUCGAAUAAAGUUACUUUAAUCGCUCGUUAAAAUAAUAAUAAUUUAUUCGUAGCUGUUAUACUCGAUCCCUUCUCCAUAACCUCUAACCCACCGUUAUUUCCAAUUAUUAUUAUUAUAAUUACAUAAAAUUACGUUUUGAACAAUAAAUUAUCGAAGCAACUUUAUUCGCAAUCAUCGUUCAAUUUUCCAUUACUGAGAUAUAUUUUGUUUCGAGCGAAGAUAUACGAUAUUUCACGCGAAAAAUAAAUUUUCCUUCCUUUGAAA